AAGCUGAGGCCCAGAGAGGAUGCAGAAAAUGCAGGCCAUAUCCACCCCCAACACUACCUGCCCAGCCUGGAAGCACAGGGGUCAUUCUCUUGGAGGGUGUGAGAGGGCAACUCCACUCUGGGUAAGAAAAUCAUCACAAGAAGGUGUGUCUGGGUGGAAUUACAGCCAACCGCCUCCACGUUCUCACCUCCCACUCAGCAGGUCCUAUUACGGACUCCCUGAAGCAGCACGUGGAAGCAGCUCUCUGGAAGGUUGCCUUAACUUAGUUGCUAAAUCCCUCACCCCACCCUGAUCUCUCAGGGAAGCAUGCAGAAGUUCCCCAACCAGGGAUCAAACCUAUGCCCUCUGCAGUGGAAGCAUGGAAUCUUAACCACUGGAUUUCCAGGGAAGUCCUGCAUAACUUAUUUCUGUGCAGACCUCAGAAUAAAGCUUCUCCUGACACUUCUACCAAGAUGUUAAAACUCUUACCAUUUGCCUCUGCAUGUCUACGAAGUGCAGUAAUUUCUAAUUACUGACUAAAAGAAACUGCCGCAGAAAUAAAUUGAAUGCUGGCUCUCAGUUAAAACCAUAACCAUCACCUGUAAUUCAGGGUUUCAAAUUUUUAGUCCAUCAAAAUGUCGGCAUUGUUCCCGCUGAUUUAUUUUGUGGUAAGUAAAGGUUAUACAUUUUGAUUGACAAAAAUAAAUUCAUA